rnacentral:rRNA from 1 species
UACGUAGGGGCAAGCGUUGUCCGGAUUUAUUGGGCGUAAAGAGCGUGUAGGCGGCUAGGUAGGUCCGUUGUGAAAACUCGAGGCUCAACCUCGAGACGCCGGUGGAAACCAUCUAGCUAGAGUCCGGAAGAGGAGAGUGGAAUUCCUGGUGUAGCGGUGAAAUGCGCAGAUAUCAGGAAGAACACCCGUGGCGAAGGCGGCUCUCUGGGACGUGACUGACGCUGAGGCACGAAGGCCAGGGGAGCAAACGGG